GACGAACGCUGGCGGCGUGCUUAACACAUGCAAGUCGAACGCUGAAGCCCGGCUUGCUGGGUGGAUGAGUGGCGAACGGGUGAGUAACACGUGAGUAACCUGCCCCCUUCUUUGGGAUAACGCCCGGAAACGGGUGCUAAUACUGGAUAUUCACUGGCCUUCGCAUGGGGGUUGGUGGAAAGGUUUUUUCUGGUGGGGGAUGGCUCGCGGCCUAUCAGCUUGUUGGUGGGGUGACGGCCUACCAAGGCUUUGACGGGUAGCCGGCCUGAGAGGGUGACCGGUCACAUUGGGACUGAGAUACGGCCCAG
rnacentral:rRNA from 1 species